UGACUGCAGCAGCAGCAGUGGGAUGUCAUCCGCAACGUUGGACGACAGUUGAGCGGCUCAAGAUUUUACGAUGUGUCCAAUGACAAAUGACUGGCUUGUUGCGUUUCGGGAAAGAUUCGUCUGUCGGUUUGAUUUUGGCAUCGGUUCUGCCUGGGAGAAGGAAGAGAAUGCGAUGUUCGAUGUGAUGGAAAUGAAAUAAAUAUUUAAUGACAGGGCAAAUAGGGUGCCAAUGAAAAUCUCCAGCUUUACAAAAUGCGUGUUGUUUCGAGAAAAAAAAACAGUGAUUACACAAAAAUAUACUGUAACCUGAAAGCAUUCAAUUCAUUGGAAUCUCAGCACGUAACAGUCAUUGUCCAAACGAACCGGCAGAGAUUCGCCAACCAUCGUUCUCUUUUAUCCUUUCCAGGAUAAAUUGUCCGAGCUGGCCGUUCCGGUCCGAUCCCAAGUGUGCAAUGGUGGUAAGAGAAGUUCGGAAAAAUUCAUAAAGGUCUAACCGGCAAAAAGAUUGAAAUUACAGGGCUAAGACCUCUGAGGAUUGAGUCUAGCUUUGCUCUAUUGCUGCAUUAUGUAGCAUUUAUGUAAAUAUUUUCAACCGGUUGUGUAUUACUGGCUUGGA